AGAGAAAAAGUCAGACACCUAGUAUCUGGAACUUGAGAUAUUUUCCUUCAGCAUCCAACAAGGCAAUUUCUCAUACACCCGAGGUUAUCUUAGUUCUAAGAUACAGGGCAGUCUAUCAAUAAGUGACUCUAGAUUAUGUCUCAGCAUAUAACAAACAUACACAAGAGGAGCAUGAGAAACGGGGUAAGAGAAGAUGACUGAGGCAAAGAAGUCACUAAAUACUUCGUAUGUUUAUUAAAAAAAUCUUUCACCAUAGCCGACUUUAAAAAAAGUAAAGAUCAAAUGGCUAGAAACACUGGUAUGAAAAAGAGGUGCAAUUAACAGGGCCUCAAAAGAACAAUAAAGGGUAUUUAGAAUUUGUCUAGUAACAUCAGCAUUUCCUGUUGGGGCACAAAAUGACAACGAUACACACUAGAUAAGGACAGACAACCAAAUUCAGACUGCCAGUUCUUUAAGACUUUUAAAUUGUUUUAUGUGUGCCUGAUACCCUGCUAAUUCUCAGGCAUCUGCAGUGAUCACACACACACUUUUCUGUUUACAGCUACUGAUGUCACUGUCUCUCACCCCUAUGAGCCUUUCCUUCAACUCCACCGCAGUCGAGCUCUCUUGACCGCUUCAGCCCCUCUCACUACUCUCAAGCUCUUUAAACCUUACUCAACACUUUGUCCUUCCCUAUAGAUUUUUUUUAAGAAAAUAGCUCAUAUAGCCUAGGUAGCCUCAAAUUCCAGAUGCCCACGUGACCCCCAAAAGUUACAAUUACAGGCCAUGUGUCACCACGCCCAGCUGCUCCUGACCCUUUAAUAUUUACCCAAUUCAAGUAUCCUAAGGCACUCAAAACCUACUUACAUGGGAUCCAUAAAAUACGAUACGAAAAAUUCUGGGUCUGUGUAUGGUAUUUCUAAAAAAAAAAAAAAUUAAGACCUGGACAUGGUCAAAACAACCCUGUAAAGGGGCUGGAGAGAUGGCUCAGAGGUUAAGAGCACUAGCUGCUCUUCCAGAGGUCCUGAGUUCAAUUCCCAGCAACCACAUGGUGGCUCACAACCAUCUGUAAUGAGAUCUGGUGCCUCUUCUGGUGUAUAUAUGUUAACAACAUUGUAUGCAUAAUAAAUAAAUAAAUCUAAAAAAAACCCCUGUACAAUAAAGGAACUUCUGGAGGCAUCACAAUCCCUGACUCCAAACUCUACUACAGAGCUACAGUACUGAAAACAGACUGGUAUUGGCAUAAACACCAAUGGAACUGAAUCGAAGACCUGAAUAUCAAGUCACAUACUUUAGAACACCUGACUUUGACAAAGAAGAAAAAAUAUAAAAUGGAAAAAAAGAAAGCAUAUUCAACAAAUGGUUGAAUAACUGGAUAUCAACAUGUAAAAGAAUAAAAUAGAUCCAUAUUUAUUGCCGUGCAUAAAAUUCAAGUCCAAAUGGAUCAAAGACCUCAACAUAAAACCAACCACACUGAACCUCAUAGAAGAGACAGUGGGAAGUACAUUUGGAUACAUUAGCACAGGAGAUCACUUCUUAAAUAUGACCCCACAAUAGCACAGACACUGAGAAAAACAAUUAAUAAAUGGGACCCCAUGAAACUGAAAAGCUUUUGUAAAGCAACGGACGCAGUCAACAAGACAAAACGGCAGCCUACAUAAUGGGGAAAGAUCUUCACCCACCCCACAUCAGACAGAGGGCUGAUCUUUAAAAUACACAAAGAACUCAAGAAAUUGGUCAUCAAAAGAACAAAUAAUCCAAUUUUAAAAAAAAUGGAGUACAGACCUAAACAGAGAACUCUCAACAGAGGAAUCUAAAAUGGCUGAACGACACUUAAGGAAAUGCUCAACAUCCUUAGUCAUCAGAGAAAUGCAAAUCAAAACAACUCUGAGAUUCCAUCAUACACCUGUAAGAAUGGCCAAGAUCAAAACCACUGAUGACAAUUUAUGCUGUGUGGUAAAGGAAAACACUCCGUGAUUGCUGGUGGGAGUGCAAACUGGUAGAGCCACUUUGGAUUUCAGUAUGGUGAUUUCUUAGAAAAUCAGGAAACAACCUACCUCAUGACCCCAGCAAUACUACUUUUGGAUAUAUACCCAAAGAUGCUCAGUCAUACCACAAGGACAUGUGCUCAACCAUGUUCAUAGCAGCUUUGUUUGUCAUAGCCAAAACCUGGAAACAGCCUAAAUGCCUCUCGACUGAAGAAUGGAUAAAGAUGGUGUGGCACAUUUAUGCAAUGGAGUACACGGGGGAGGGGGGGGGGUAAGUGGAUGGAUCUAGAAGACAGUGUAUUGAGUGACGUAACCCAGAUCCAGAAAGACAAAUAUAGAAUGUACUCACUCAUAAGUGGCUUUUAGACAUAAAAAGCAAAGAAAAACCAGCCUACAAUUCACAAUCCCAGAGAACCUACACAACAAAGAGGGCCCUAAGAGAGACAUACAUGGAUCUAAUCUACAUGUAAAGUAGAAAAAGACAAGAUCUCCUGAGUAAACUGGGAGCAUGGGGAUCAUGGGACGGGUAGAAGGGAAGGGAGUGGAGAAAAAUAUAUAGCUCAAUAAAAACAUGAUGUGGGAAUGAUUUCUUACUAAUAAAGAAACUGCCUUGGCCCAUUUUAUUGGAUAGAAAAUUAGGUAGGCGGAAUAUACAGAAGAGAAUUCUGGGAGAAAGAAGGUUAGAGGAAGAGUCGCCAUGAUUCUCCUGCUCCAGACAGACGCAGGUUAAGAUCCUCUCUGGUAAGCCAACUCAUGGGCUACACAGAAUAUUAGAAAUGGGUUAGAACAAUAUGUAAGAGCUAGCCAAUAAGAAACUGGACCUAGCCGGGCCAGGCAGUGUUUGAAAGAA